ensembl:lncRNA
GUUAUUCGCAUAGUUGUGGACUGCCUUUGGAUAAGUGGAACUUCUUUGACGAGGGCUUGUUUUUUGUAGCCUACAGUUUUUCUUGCUGCAGCCUCAUUUUUUUAAACUGUUUUCAUGAGCUAUUCACAUUGGUUCAAUGUCAUGUUGCCUUGUGGUCUAAGGUGCACAUGUGAUCGCAAUGAAUAUUUCUUGAAUAUUUUUUUUAACAUGUUUUUUUCACCAACCAUUAAUCCACUGGUUCGCCAUGAAGAUCACUCAUUUUGUUUUCCUGGCAAAUUUGUCGAAAGCAAGAUAAGUGGCAAAAACAGGUUUUCUUCCUCCCCUUAUUACAUAUCAUAAUCUUUGUAACCAAUAAAUCUUGAAUAUUUUUUGAACAUUUUUUUGAAUAUUUUUUUCCACCCACCAUUGGUUCCCACUGGUUCCCAAUGGGGAUCACUCCUUUUUUUUCCUGGCAACUUUGUACAAAGCAAGAUAUGUGGCAUAUGCAGGUUUUCUUCCCUCUUCAUCACAUAUCAUGAUCUUUGUAAUGAAUCAUUCCUUUGAAUAGUUCUUGAAUAUGUUUUUGAAUAUUUUUCGAGUAUUUUUUAAUAUUUCUUUUAAUAUUUCUUGAAUAUUUCUUGAUUUUUUUUUAAAUCUUUUUUUUUCACCAACCACUAACCCACUGGUUCCCAAUGGGGAUCACUCCUUUUGUUUUCCUGGCAACUUUGUAAAAAGCAAGAUAUGUGGCAUACGCAGGUUUUCUUCCCUCUUCAUCACAUAUCAUGAUCUUUGUAAUGAAUCAUUCCUUUGAAUAGUUCUUGAAUAUGUUUUUGAAUAUUUUUCGAAUAUAUUUUAAUAUUUCUUUUAAUAUUUCUUGAAUAUUUCUUGAAUAUUUCUUGAUUUUUUUUUUAAUCUUUUUUUUUCACCAACCACUAACCCACUGGUUCCCAAUGGGGAUCACUCCUUUUGUUUUCCUGGAAACUUUGUAAAAAGCAAGAUAUGUGGCAUACGCAGGUUGUCUUCCCUCUUUAUCACGUAUCAUAAUCUUUGUAAUGAAACUUUCCUUGGGAUAGUUCUUGAAUAUGUUUUUGAGUAUUUUUCGAAUACUUCUUUGCAUAUUUCUUGAAUAUUUCUUGAAUAUUUCUUGAUUUUUUUUUUUAAUCUUUUUUUUUCACCAACCACUUACCCACUGGUUCCCAAUGGGGAUCACUCCUUUUGUUUUCCUGGCAACUUUGGAAAAAGCAAGAUAUGUGGCUAGGCAGGUUGUCUUCCCUCUUUAUCACAAAUCAUAAUCUUUGUAAUGAAUCAUUCCUUUGAAUAGUUCUUAAAUAUGGUUUUAAAGAUUUUUCGAAGAUUCUUUUGAAUAUUUCUUGAAUAUUUCUUGAAUAUUUCUUGAUUUUUUUUUUUAAUCUUUUUUUUUCACCAACCACUUACCCACUGGUUCCCAAUGGGGAUCACUCCUUUUGUUUUCCUGGCAACUUUGGAAAAAGCAAGAUAUGAGGCUAGGCAGGUUGUCUUCCCUCUUUAUCACGUAUCAUAAUCUUUGUAAUGAAACUUUCCUUUGGAUAGUUCUUGAAUAUGGUUUUAAAGAUUUUUCGAAGAUUCUUUUGAAUAUUUCUUGAUUUUUUUUAAAUCUUUUUUUUUCACCAACCACUAACCCACUGGUUCCCAAUGGGGAUCACUCCUUUUGUUUUCCUGGCAACUUUGUACAAAGCAAGAUAUGUGGCAUACGCAGGUUUUCUUCCCUCUUCAUCACAUAUCAUGAUCUUUGUAAUGAAUCAUUCCUUUGAAUAGUUCUUGAAUAUGUUUUUGAAUAUUUUUCGAAUAUUUUUAAAGAUUUUUCGAAUAUUUUUUAAUAUUUAUUUUAAUAUUUCUUGAAUAUUUCUUGAUUUUUUUUAAAUCUUUUUUUUUCACCAACCACUAACCCACUGGUUCCCAAUGGGGAUCACUCCUUUUGUUUUCCUGGCAACUUUGUAAAAAGCAAGAUAUGUGGCAUACGCAGGUUUUCUUCCCUCUUCAUCACAUAUCAUGAUCUUUGUAAUGAAUCAUUCCUUUGAAUAGUCCUUGAAUAUUUCUUGAAUAUGUUUUUGAAUAUUUUUCGAAUAUUUUUUAAUAUUUCUUUUAAUAUUUCUUGAAUAUUUCUUGAUUUUUUUUUUAAUCUUUUUUUUUCACCAACCACUAACCCACUGGUUCCCAAUGGGGAUCACUCCUUUUGUUUUCCUGGAAACUUUGUAAAAAGCAAGAUAUGUGGCAUACGCAGGUUGUCUUCCCUCUUUAUCACGUAUCAUAAUCUUUGUAAUGAAACUUUCCUUUGGAUAGUUCUUUAACAUGUUUUUGAGUAUUUUUCGAAUACUUCUUUGCAUAUUUCUUGAAUAUUUCUUGAAUAUUUCUUGAUUUUUUUUUAAAUCUUUUUUUUUCACCAACCACUAACCCACUGGUUCCCAAUGGGGAUCACUCCUUUUGUUUUCCU